rnacentral:rRNA from 1 species
AAAUUGAAGAGUUUGAUCAUGGCUCAGAUUGAACGCUGGCGGCAGGCCUAACACAUGCAAGUCGAACGGUAACAGGAAGCAGCUUGCUGCUUCGCUGACGAGUGGCGGACGGGUGAGUAAUGUCUGGGAAACUGCCUGAUGGAGGGGGAUAACUACUGGAAACGGUAGCUAAUACCGCAUAACGUCGCAAGACCAAAGAGGGGGACCUUCGGGCCUCUUGCCAUCGGAUGUGCCCAGAUGGGAUUAGCUAGUAGGUGGGGUA